rnacentral:rRNA from 1 species
AUGAACGCUGGCGGCGUGUCUAAGGCAUGCAAGUUGAACGCCUGUAGCAAUACAGGAGUGGCAAACGGGUGCGUAACACAUUGGUAACCUACCUUGAAGUCGUGAAUAAUCCAGCGAAAGUUGGACUAAUACACGAUGGCCAAGGAGAGACUCAGGUCUUUCCUUGUAAAGAUUUAUCGCUUCAAGAGGGGCCUAUGUCCUAUCAGCUAGUUGGUGAGGUAAUGGCUCACCAAGGCUUUGACGGGUAGGGGGCGUAAGAGCGCGACCCCCCUCACUGGGACUGAGACACUGCCCAGACUCCUACGGGAGGCUGCAGUCGAGAAUAUUCCUCAAUGCACGAAAGUGUGAAGGAGCGACGCCGCGUGCCAGAAGAAGCCCUUCGGGGUGUAAAGCACUUUUCGGGAGGAUGAGGAAGGACGGUACUCCCGGAAUAAGUCUCGGCUAACUACGU